rnacentral:rRNA from 1 species
UACGUAGGGUGCGAGCGUUGUCCGGAAUUACUGGGCGUAAAGAGCUCGUAGGUGGUUUGUCGCGUCGGCUGUGAAAACUCGGGGCUCAACCCCGAGCCUGCAGUCGAUACGGGCAGACUAGAGUGCUGUAGGGGAGACUGGAAUUCCUGGUGUAGCGGUGAAAUGCGCAGAUAUCAGGAGGAACACCGGUGGCGAAGGCGGGUCUCUGGGCAGUAACUGACGCUGAGGAGCGAAAGCGUGGGGAGCGAACAGG